CAUUGCGGAUUAGGUUAGCCACGGGAAGUGCUGCUGCUCAAGAGUUCGUUCAAGAGCAAAUCAGGUGCCAGGUAAUGAGGGAAUGCUAGAUACUAGAGCUCCAUAAGGGAAUAUUAUUUCAUAGUCCAUUUUCACCUUGUCGAGGAGAGUUGCGGAUCGGUACAUGGAGCAUGGGGUUCUGCUCACGGGGCUGCAGGGAUGAUUACCACCUCGGCGAGCUGGACAAGAACAGGAAGAGGCAAGCCGUGGCGUUGAUGGGACGGAGCAAGAUGGCCAGGAUCGUCACUAGGGUGGACGCCGGCAAGGCGACGGAGGCCGGAGAAGCGAGCUGCAGCAGGCCCACCUUCUUCACUUGCGCCGAAGAAGCUGAGUAGGCAUCAUUCCGGCCCCUAAACAAGUUUCGUCGUCACCUCAAGAUGAAUAAAGCAGCAGCAGCCUCGUGCAUAUGCAACAAUAUGCGUCGGUAUAUGGACAGCUGCAGGAGUGUAGCGUGCAACUACAUGCGUAUGUAGUAUGUCGUCGUAUGUGUCUUUCUGAUGUGUGUGCUAUGUGUCGUAUGUGUCAUCCAAGCUAAAAUAAAAAAAACUAUAUAUUUUUA